UUCAAAUGACGGGAGUCGAACCCGGGCCGCCUGGGUGAGAGCCAGGAAUCCUGACCGCUAGACCACAUGGGA
rnacentral:tRNA from 1 species